GAUGAAGAACGUAGCGAAAUGUGAUAAGUAAUGCGAAUUGCAGAAUUUCCGUGAGUCAUCGAAUCUUUGAACGCACAUUGCGCCCACUGGUAUUCCGGUGGGCAUGCCUGUUCGAGCGUCAUUAUCCUCCCUCAAACCCCGGGUUUGGUGUUGGACCCAAGUUGUGUGAACAACUGGUCUCAAAGACAAUGACGGCGUCCGUGGGACCCUCGGUGCAACGAGCUUUUAGGAGCACGCGCCGAGUUGCAAGGACCUUCCGGGCCGGUCUCCUUUACUAUUUUACAAGGUUGACCUCGGAUCAGGUAGGAAUACCCGCUGAACUUAAGCAUAUCAAUAAGCGGAGGA
rnacentral:misc_RNA from 1 species